GCUGAGCAGGAAUGGCAAUGUGGACCUCUGUGAUGGGACAACUGGUGGGAUCUCACAUCCAGUUCUGUGUCAAAGGAGGAUGAAGACUAAGGACUCAUGAGGAAGCUGGAUUACUGGACGAGAGCAAUGUAAGCAAUUUUUUUGUAUGCAUGUGGUCCCACUACAAGAGGCCCCUCAACCCACACAUCAAUGUAGAGUUCCAUGAAAGCAAUUGUAGAGAAGAGUGGGUGGGAGAUCUGAAGCCAGACAGGGCAUUGUGUGUCUAGGUAUCUGAAGAGGCUGGUUCUUGAUAACUCUGGGAGCUAGUGUGAUUGAACACAGGAUUUAUAAUUGUGCUAUUUAGACCAGAUUUGGUGGGCACUUUCCCUAUCUUAAGUGCUGAGUCAGGUCUAACAGGGCAGUUUUAACUAUUUGUUUGAUCUUGUAGGUUCUAGAAGGGAAGACCAGAAAAUGAGAUGGUGGAGUUUAAUAAGGCUGGACAGACAGUUUUGAAAACACAAAUGGUUUGAAUAAAGAAAGGUAAGCAUUGUAAAUUUGGUAUUUACUAUAUAAAUUAAGGUACUGUUAGUGAUGACCAAUAACGUUAAACAGAUGGGAAUCUCUCUGAAUAAGACUGAAGAUUGAUUGUUCAGCUGAAACAGUAUUUAAGAACAUCAGCAAAUACAGUUUAUAAAUACAUAUUUCUAAAUGGAGUGUAAUUUCUGCAGGUAUUACACAUGGAUCCCCUCAGUUGAAGGCACUGAUGGGUCUUUCUGAAUUUCUGGUCCUUCUGAAUUUCAAGGGCUCCUGUGACAAGUAGACAUGGCAGUGACUUCACCAUUUUGUUUCUGAGGUGCCUGGAUGGAGACUCAAAU
ensembl:processed_transcript